rnacentral:sRNA from 1 species
CUUUCCUUUUAAACCUCACUUACCGAUCCAAAUAUGUUCUUUCUUUCCCUGCUGUUAAUGUUCAGGUUAUGUAGUAAAGAGCCUCAGGGUUUUGUACUUUGGGUCCCAUUGUAUGUCUGCUGGGGGAGGGUAGGAGAUUUAGACCCACCCCCACCUCCAUAUCUUGAACGGACUUAUUACUGUUUUCCAUUCAGUCUUGAAUUCAGAAGAAAACCAAACUUAAAGAGAAACCACUGCCAAAAGGGUAACAAGAAAGCUAUAUCCAGAGGAAACCGGUCCUCCUGGGUUGCCAGAUUUAAGUGGUGUGGUUGUGGGUGUGGACGUGGAGGUGCUUGCCUCAGGUGUGGACGUGGAGGAGCCGGAAGCACCUGCGUGCCCCAGCUGCUCCGGGAAGUUCUGUUUGGCUCGGGGAAUCUGGAGUAGCAGCCAAAGGCGCCUCGGAAAUGAACAGGCUGUUUUCUGAAAAUGGGACAUUUGGUGUCUUGAAAGGCAGCACGUCCCCAGUUCCCCACAUGGUACAGCGACUUUUAAAGGGAGCAAGAUUGCAAAGUUGCUCAGUGCUGAAUGAAAGGCUCAGAGGCGAGGGGCAUGCUGUAAUGCCAACCAAAGUCCAGGUGGAUGGACACAAAUCCUUUCCGCUUAGGAUCUCAAAGCACCGUUCCUGGCAUUACGGUCUGUCUCCGACAGUUUGACCAACAAGGUUUCACCAAGAGAUCCAGCAGGCAUGCUGCAAGGCAGAAACAGAUGUGCAGUUCAUAAAGAGCCGUGGAAUUUUAAAAGCCCAAGAGAUCAUCAAGAUCACCUCAUUCAACCUUCCUGACAGAAAAGGAGAAGUGGGCUGGAGAGAUGGCUCCGCAGCUCAGAAGAAAUUAUUCAGGCGGGAUCCAUAUCUCAG